UACGAAGGGGGCUAGCGUUGCUCGGAAUCACUGGGCGUAAAGGGUGCGUAGGCGGGUCUUUAAGUCAGGGGUGAAAUCCUGGAGCUCAACUCCAGAACUGCCUUUGAUACUGAAGAUCUUGAGUUCGGGAGAGGUGAGUGGAACUGCGAGUGUAGAGGUGAAAUUCGUAGAUAUUCGCAAGAACACCAGUGGCGAAGGCGGCUCACUGGCCCGAUACUGACGCUGAGGCACGAUAGCGUGGGGAGCAAACGGG
rnacentral:rRNA from 1 species